ACCCUACGCAAAUAUUCCCCAAUCCCCAUCGCAGCCGCCGCCUUUCUCCUCCACCGUGCUCUGCGCCCGCCUCUCCUCUUUUCUGGCCGACGAGCCCGCCCCUGUUCAUCCGCGUGCAGCAGCGGAACAAGAACCGCAGCGCCGCAGCAGUCCGACCUCCUUCAUUGUGGUUGGAGGAGGAAGACGAGGUCCAUGUCGACGGUUGGCGGCGCUGCGGGUUGAUUCCUUGCGCCACGAGGAAAAGGACAAAGCGGCGGAGCUCCUGGUGGCGCUCAUCGCCGGGAUGUAGGGAGGCGACGAUUCGGUCAAGGUGAAGUCACCAUUGUCGGGAGCAGCGUUGGCCGUCGGGAGCACCGCCGCUGCGCACCGGGUCGCCAUUGGGAGAAUUGUCUGGUGGCCGGUGAGAGCAGCACAGCCCGCUGCCGCGCGUCGUGCCUCCACCGGGAGCAGCAGCAGUGAUCCAUCUUUUCCUCACGGGCUCAGGAGCAGGAGGAGCACGCGGAAGUUGAGGCGGAGCAGCGGCGGAGACCACUUCUUCUUCCUCGAGCCACACCAACACUCAUUUUCGUCCAGGCAGGGGCGUGGAGAAAUCAAGGAUCGAGGUACCGGAUGGGAGGCAGCCAGAGGCGCAGCACGGGCUACGGUUGGAGAAGUCCGAGCGCCGAUGCCGUUUCCAAGAGGGGCCAUGGCGAGAUGGCCCACAAGCGUCUGGCGAGGGAUGCAUUGGCGUCGCUAUCUUCGGCCACCUCUGGCAGGUCGGCUUCGGCGCUCUAAAUUCGCCACCAACCUCCCUUCUUGCGCCGCCCGCCUUCGCAGCACGGCCUACCAGCCCUCGAUGGGUAUGAUUUUCUGUCUUCGGCCAGCACGUCCACCAUCUGUUUCACCUUCGUUGCCUCCAUUCUUUCUCGCUGCUGCUCCAUCCUCUCCACUUCGGAUUGGCCAUAUCACCCUGUGAUUUCUUGCAGGAACUAAUUUCUUUCCCAUGCUCCCGAUAGAUAUUUGGUUCAUCCUUUCACGUUCAGUGGAGGUUAUGGUCAAGGUAAGGGUGCCUUCUCUCCAAGCUUUCUCAUUCGUAUGGUAAUGAAUAUAGCUCAGCGAUGCAAUACUUUUGUGCAGUGAAACUUGCUGCAUUUUUAGCAAUUCAAUGUUUACUCAUUUACUUUCUUAUUGAAUCGUUAAUUUGGGGAUAGAUUUUGAACAUGUCUUGGUAGGCCUUUGUUGUAAUUUUAGGCAUUUUUCUCACAUCAAUACCAUGUGGUAGAAUUUGGAACCCUGGGAUUUUGUCACUGAUUAUGACCAUUCCAGUCUUUACCUUCCAAAUGCUAAAUUGGUGAUGUCAACUGAGCGAAGGAGGGGUUACACCCACGUCGUGGCAGAGGCAGACAUUCUGCGACAGUUUGUUCCUUCACCAUGGUGGGUUCCUACCAAUUCUUGUUGAGUCUUCCCUCCCCUCUCAAUCUCUCUGAAUGCCCAUUUAUGCAGAUUUGACAUGUGGUCUGGUUUGAACUAACUUGAUAUUUUGGUACAUAUUUGGAUAUGGUUGAUGCAAUCCUAUGCUCCUCUCAAGUUCACUUUCUUUGUACAGCUUCAGUGAUGCUACAGGUUUCAUUCUUGAGGUAAGGAAAAUUACCUCUUAGAUGAUCCUUCAUUUUUCUAUGCUGUUUUGCGAAAAGGAGUUGCAUUGUAUGGAAAUAAGCUAUUUGUAAUAACUGAGAUGGCUUCCUUGUUUUUGACUGGUCAGGAACGUUGAUGCCUUGCAAUUUAGUUUUUGAAGUUCAAGUGCAUAUGCAUGUUGUUCAAGUAGUGACACUGAUAGACAUUUCUGUUUUUUUAUAUCUCAGGGCUCUACAGAAAAUGGUCGUAUGAUGAAAGGUGCAUAUGAAAAAAACGUGUGUCAAUUAAUCUCACAGCUUGUGAGUCUAAUAGCCACAGUUUUUAGGCAACAUUUAACAGCAUAGACCGUAUUACUAAAAGAUGCCAUGUCUAAUCUGAACAUUACCUUUAAGAAGCAGCGAGUGACUCUGACGAUGCAAAUUUUGCAGCCACAGGCCACUCAGCAUAGAUAUGCGAUCAAUCAUGUUAAUUUGUCCUGUCUCGAUGCUACUUCAAUCACAGAUAUACAAUGGGAAGCCUAUGGGUGUUAUCCAGAAAUACCUUUCCAUAUUACUACGAUAAGUUGGUAAUUAACAUGAAGCUUGCUUAUAUGUUACUUUUCUAUCUUUUAUCUUUAUACUUGCAGGUUAUUUUAUCUUUACGAUCUGUUUCUUCUACAAAAUCUGUGGUAGGAAAGAACACAGCUUGAGACUUCCCAGUUAUACAAGGAAGCUGGAGUCAAUCAACUAACAAUAAAUGUGAAAUGAAUUAUAUGGUAUAUCAACUCAUAUUAGGUGACUAUUCAUAUUAGCUAAUCAUAUUUUCUACUUUAUAUAGACUCUACAUUGUUUAGGAAAAUAUCCAUAUUUUCUGAUUCAUUAGCACCAUUGCUACCUCGUAUUAUUAUUAUUGUUUUUUUAUGAAGGAUGAUUGUUCAUAUUAGCUAAUCCAAUUUUCUACUUCCUAUGAACUCUACCGUUAUUUAGGGCAAAUAUCCCUAUUUCUGAUUGAAUACCGUUAUUUUCUGAUGCAUCUUCCCAUAUUUCAUUUUUAUGCAUUGUAGAUUAAUCGGGUACAGAUAAUCCUUUAUUAUGCUUAUGCAGAGCGUGAUUUAGAUACUUCUGCAGUGCACAUUUUGUAUCAUGGCGAUAUACACAUGUCUCCUAAGAGGUGCCAUGCGAUCUUUAGUAGUUGUAAAAGCUAGAGGAUUCAUAUUUGGCCCAGGAUCCUGUUGGCCAUUGGCGCAAAAUUCGUACUGUUGCGCAAACCUGGGAAACUCCCAGGUAAUCUCACCUGCAAAGUUUACCAUCCGCAGAGGUGAAGAGGAUUUCACAUGUAUUUAUAUCAAGUGUUGUGCGAGUACUACAACUGUACAACACUCUGAAACUUGGCUGAAUGUAUUAUCUAGCCCAUUAAGUACGCACUAUUGUAGGCAUCGGUUUUCUAAAAAGCUUCUGUUGAGUAGACUCAUUAAAUUCUGCUACUGGAAGGUGGAUCAAACAUUAUAGAGAUUGUAAGCAUGUUCUGAUCGAUUAGGCCGCAGCUUGUGAUAGAUUACAGACACAAUUGUAUGUACCUUCAUCAUGCUGCUGAUUUAGCUCUUAGAAAUAGUGAAGGUGAACUGAUUUUCAAAAGUUAUGUACUAGCGUAUGGAACGGAUUGCUUUGAUAUGCACAUUGGAGCCAUCGAACUGGGCAACCUCGAUGAUUUGGUCGCAGCUGAUGGGAUACUUUCUGCAGUUAUAAGACUCAUUCAUGAGCAUCUUUUGCAUGUUAUUAUCUUCUCUCUAAAAUUGAUAUCUUGCAUGAGACCCUGCUAAUCUAGGAACUGUUAUGCAUUAUUUCUUUAUUGCAUUACAUGCCAAUAAAUGUGGUCUGCUCAUUUUAGGUAUCAAAUGGAAGAACAAAUUUUCUAUCUAACUAAUCAGUCUGCAUGUUUACAUGAUAUCCAAAUUUUCACGAUUUUAUUUUUAUUUUGUGCUUCUUUGUCUCUGUCAAAUAUUCCUUUUCCUGCUUUACAUAUUGACGUCCUUUAGUUCUGCAGUAGAUAUCGGAAACUCAAAACUGAUCCGAGGUGCAUAUGCACAUGGUAUGUACAAAACAUAUUUCAAAAACAUAAAAAAAUUAGGAAUUUUUUUGACAUGUAGUUGGACAUGUUCUAUGUGUGCAUGUAAAGAUCACAUAAAACCGACACUUUUUGUGCCCUGUGUAAAAAGGACAAAAAAAUGUCUCGAGAAAUAGAUUAUUUUAGCACCAAAAUUUGUAUUUUUUACAGAGGGCACAAAACAUGUCGUUUUUUUGCUGAAACAACUUAGUGAGCAUGUAUCAUGUCAAGAUAUACACGAGACAUUUUUUGUAUAGGUUUAACAUUUUAAAAUAUGUUUUAAAUCAUUUUAAAUAAAGGGUGCAUGCACCCUGGUGCAGAAACACCAUAUCCCUUUUUUUCUUCUACACCACAGAUAUUGGUUUCCUACACCCCUUUUUAUCUAUCCAUUUCAUUGGUUAUAACUACUCUCUUAUCUUUUUUUUUCGAAAAGGAACUAUGCUCUCUUCUAUCGUUUCUUUACAACUCUCGGCAGCAUUUCAGAAUGAGUGCAGCCUUGCCUCUGUGAAAUUGGAUAUGUAUGAUCUGUGAGCUUGUGUCUGUAAGUAUGCAUCUCACGGUAGGCAUCACUUUAUUCUUGCUGUGUGCAAAACUUCAUAUGCAAUUGAUCAUAUAAGCCAAAACUUCACUAACUGUACUUAAUCGAUUUAGCAUCAGAACUUAUAAUCUAUUUUUUUCUGCUAUGGAUUAUAAUCAGAUUCUUCCAUCUAAGUUGUCAUACCAUUGUUCUAUUUCUGGCAGGUUCCAUAAUAGUAUAGCUAAAUUCGAAUUAUUUAUAUCUGAAUUGUGUAUGGCCACUAACCAUCAUGUCACGUGUGCAGAGCUCAUACAUUUUGCUACUUCUAGCUCAGGAACUCAUGUUGCAAUGUUGUUUCCACUUCAGGGAAAACGUAGUCAAUUCAUAUUGUUUCCUUAAUAUAUAUUUUUGUCACUUAACUACUAAGUAUGCAUUUGCAUCAACCAUCUUAUUUCGUAUGUGCAGUGCACAGACAUGAUGCGAUGCAUAAUCAACUAUCUGUUUCUAGCUCAAGGUGUCAUGCCAGUGCUUCCUCCGCUGCAAGGCAAACACAAGUAAAUGUUCGAUAUAUUCUUAUUUUUUAUGCUAUCAUAGAAACAGAUGAGGAAAAUGAGCCAAGGUAAUUUGCCUCCCUUCCUCCUGAUCUCCCUCCUCUCUACUUAAUUUCCACAAUAUAAAGUACUGGCUUUGUAUUGAAGAGCCACUUACUUUCACCAGUUUGUAGAUGGAUUAAAGAGAUGGCUGGCUAUUCAUCUGUUGAAUAUAUCCCUCUCCUUAAGAAAAACACACACAGACAAUUGUGGCAAUUGUAACACUGUACAAACAUUUAGAUGCUGGAGCUUGACAUGAUGUAUCAAGUAAAGAAAGUAGCUUUGAUUUUUCUUUCAAUUAUGCUUUCUUCUAGACUACUUUUUGUUGCAUCACUUCAUUUACCAGGUUACUCUAGAGGAUAAAAAACUGGUGCUGAAGCUAUAUGCACUCUUUGUUUAAAGCUAUCUGAACAAGGUUGGAGCUAGGUCACAAAGUGUAUUCACUAUUUGAUUUUUCGAUGGACAAACUGGGUGUCCAAGUUUGCAAUUUUAGUGACAAUGACACAAUUCGAAGGUAGGGAAGUUCGUGUGACUAUUGUAUUUAACUCUGCGCUGUGAGGGGAAUGUUCUCCUGUGUACCUCUCCAUAUCUGUAAUAAAGGCCAAGAGCUAUGAAACAACGGAGGAUUCUGUAUGUGUAAAAGCUAUCACAUAUCACAUAUGUUUAUGUGGGACAAAUACAAUCAUCAUAGCCUGCAUAUGGGUAUUAUCUAUCA